CUCAUUUGGAAAAGGGCCAUACUUAGUGUUGCAGUUCAACUCUCUAAAAACCAGUUUACUGAAAGUUUUCUGGCUAGUAAGCGACAGUUAAGGAACAGUCUGACACUUUCUGAAUAGAGCAUGUUUGCCAA